CCGGUUGUGGACGUUGACACCGGAGGUGUUACCAGGGAGACGGGAGAUAAGGGUUCAUUAAUGGGCAUCCAGGCGCCAGCCUGACUGAGCCUAAAGAGACACACGGGAGGUCUCGGAUAAUUGGCAGCGGGAUGUAAGGGCGUGUGCGUGAGCGGAGCGGGGUAGUUGUUGCUGGGGACAAGAGUGAAGACGUCUUGCCGCUGCCGCUCCAGCCGUCAAAGGGACCUCAACCCUCACGCGUCGCCGGGCGGGUGAUGGCUGAUCCCCCCGGCCAAGACAGACGGGUAUCGGCUCCACACCCGCGGCCUGGACUGGCCUUGGCUACGUGACCGUGGCGUUGCCACUGCUGGUUUGAGCCGGUUAACGGAGCUCAAGAUGGCACGGACUGGAGGAGGAGCGUUGGGGGCUGGCAUCGUGCAUCUUGAGUCACGCCGGUUGGCGCACGAGGAAGCCAAACGGGUGCAGCGACAGGAGCGCCCUGCAGCUCAACCCACCCACCCUCCCAACCACUCAACCCACCUACCUACCCAAACCACCCACCCACCCCUCAAGCAAC